UCCUGGAGAUCUACCCCACCCUGUUCCUGGAGAUCUACCCCACCCUGUUCCUGGAGAUCUACCCUCCUGUACUGUAGGGUUAGUCCAACCAUAACCUAACGAAUCUGAUUCAGCUAGACAAGGGUUGUUUCCCUGCUUAGAUGUUGCUGACACAUUCGAGAUCUUACGCCUGGAUAGAUAUUUUACCUAUCAGCUAAACACAUAAUGUUACAGCAAUCUGGUGUCUGACUGCACUGUCGAUGACAUGGCACAACCAUUGGUUGAUGAAUGCAAAGUCCGAGUAGGGGAACACAACCAAGGUCAGGGUCAGCUAAUAAAGGUCAGCUAAUAAAGGUCAGGGUCAGCUAAUAAAGGUCAGGGUCAGCUAAUAAAGGUCAGCUAAUAAAGGUCAGGGUCAGCUAAUAAAGGUCAGGGUCAGCUAAUAAAGGUCAGCUAAUAAAGGUCAGCUAAUAAAGGUCAGCUAAUAAAGGUCAGGGUCAGCUAAUAAAGGUCAGCUAAUAAAGGUCAGCUAAUAAAGGUCAGGGUCAGCUAAUAAGGGUCAGCUAAUAAAGGACAGGGUCAGCUAAUAAGGGUCAGCUAAUAAAGGUCAGGGUCAGCUAAUAAAGGUCAGCUAAUAAAGGUCAGGGUCAGCUAAUAAGGGUCAGCUAAUAAAGGUCAGGGUCAGCUAAUAAAGGUCAGCUAAUAAAGGUCAGGGUCAGCUAAUAAAGGUCUGGGUCAGCUAAUAAAGGUCAGCUAAUAAAGGUCAGGGUCAGCUAAUAAAGGUCAGGGUCAGCUAAUAAAGGUCAGCUAAUAAAGGUCAGGGUCAGCUAAUAAAGGUCAGGGUCAGCUAAUAAAGGUCAGCUAAUAAAGGUCAGGGUCAGCUAAUAAAGGUCAGCUAAUAAAGGUCAGGGUCAGCUAAUAAGGGUCAGCUAAUAAAGGUCAGGGUCAGCUAAUAAAGGUCAGGGUCAGCUAAUAAAGGUCAGCUAACAAAGGUCAGGGUCAGCUAAUAAAGGUCAGGGUCAGCUAAUAAAGGCCAGGGUCAGAUAAUAAAGGUCAGCUAAUAAAGGCCAGGGUCAGGUAAUAAAGGUCAGCUAAUAAAGGUCAGGGUCAGCUAAUAAAGGUCAGCUAAUAAAGGCCAGGGUCAGCUAAUAAAGGUCAGGGUCAGCUAAUAAAGGUCAGCUAAUAAAGGUCAGG